UACGUAGGGUGCAAGCGUUAUCCGGAAUUAUUGGGCGUAAAGAGCUCGUAGGCGGUCUGUCGCGUCUGCUGUGAAAACCCGAGGCUCAACCUCGGGCCUGCAGUGGGUACGGGCAGACUAGAGUGCGGUAGGGGAGAAUGGAAAUUCCUGGUGUAGCGGUGGAAUGCGCAGAGUAUCAGGAGGAACACCGAUGGCGAAGGCAGUUCUCUGGGCCGUAACUGGACGCUGAAGGAGCGAAAGCUGGGGAGCGAACAGG
rnacentral:rRNA from 1 species